AAAUAAAUAUGUACCAUGUUAAUAGUUUAUUAUUAAAUCCUGCUUUAAUGGGAGUGCAGUUCCUGCUAGUUCGCCGGUGGCGCUAUUGCGCACAGAGUCUGUGUAUAGACUGCAGCAGAGUUAGGGAGAACUGCUGUGGAUGUGGAUGCUAAGUUAAACCGUGUUGAUCUCACUGUUACUGCUCUGUGUGCAGGGCAAAAUAAAAUCCUCCUCAUCCGAGUCCAGUGUGUGUGUAUUGCUGAAGGGUGAAUGAAGUGGGUUCGGGAGUGAAGUAUAAAGGUCAUAUUGGUGCCGUGACUCAGGACUUCAAUCAAGGUGGUCGAAGAUCAUCCAAACAUCGAACCGGUGGGCAAGUCUUCAUCCUUCACUGCACAAGCCAGCAGCUAAGCUUUUUAUUAGUUAAUCCAGGACUUUAUAUCAAGGACUUUAAACAACAAACG